GAUAAACGCUGGCGGCGCACAUAAGACAUGCAAGUCGAACGGACUUAACCAUUAGUUUACUAUUGGAGCAGUUAGUGGCGGACUGGUGAGUAACACGUAAGCAACCUGCCUGCUAGAGGGGAAUAACAGUGAGAAAUCAUUGCUAAUACCGCAUAUGCUCACAGUAUCGCAUGAUACAGUGAGGAAAGGAGCAAUCCACUAGCAGAUGGGCUUGCGUCUGAUUAGAUAGUUGGUGGGGUAACGGCCUACCAAGUCAACGAUCAGUAGCCGAACUGAGAGGUUGAACGGCCACAUUGGGACUGAGAUACGGCCCAGACUCCUACGGGAGGCAGCAGUCGGGAAUAUUGCGCAAUGGAGGGAAAACUCUGACGCAGUGACGCCGCGUAUGGGAAGAAGGUUUAGGAUUGUAAACCAUUUUAGACAGGGAAGAACAAUAGACAGUAACCUGUAGAAUAAGCUCCGGCUAACUAACGUGCCAGCAG
rnacentral:rRNA from 1 species